GAACGCUAGCGGCAGGCCUAAUACAUGCAAGUCGAACGGUGUCUUCGGACAUAGUGGCGCACGGGUGCGUAACACGUAUGCAACCUACCUUACAUUGGGGGAUAGCCUUUCGAAAGGGAGAUUAAUACCGCAUAAGACAGUAGCUGGGCAUCCAGCAGCUGUUAAAGAUUUAUCGAUGUAAGAUGGGCAUGCGUCCAAUUAGUUAGUUGGCGACGUAACGGCUCACCAAGACUUUGAUUGGUAGGGGAACUGAGAGGUCAAUCCCCCACACUGGCACUGAGAUACGGGCCAGACUCCUACGGGAGGCAGCAGUAGGGAAUAUUGGGCAAUGGACGCAAGUCUGACCCAGCCAUGCCGCGUGCAGGAUGAAGGCGUUAUGCGUUGUAAACUGCUUUUAUACAGGAAGAAACGACUCUUGCGAGAGGCAUUGACGGUACUGUAUGAAUAAGCACCGGCUAACUCCGUGCCAGCAGCCGCGGUAAUACGGAGGGUGCAAGCGUUGUCCGGAUUUAUUGGGUUUAAAGGGUGCGCAGGUGGUUUAUUAAGUCAGUGGUGAAAGACGGUCGCUCAACGAUUGCAGUGCCAUUGAAACUGGUAGACUUGAGUAAAGUAGAGGUGGGCGGAAUUGAUAGUGUAGCGGUGAAAUGCAUAGAUAUUAUCAAGAACUCCAAUUGCGUAGGCAGCUCACUUGGCUUUUACUGACACUCAUGCACGAAAGUGUGGGUAUCAAACAGGAUUAGAUACCCUGGUAGUCCACACUGUAAACGAUGAUAACUAGGUGUCGGCCGAAUCUGGUCGGUGCCACA
rnacentral:rRNA from 1 species